GUAGGGAAUCUUCCACAAUGGGCGCAAGCCUGAUGGAGCAACACCGCGUGAGUGAAGAAGGGUUUCGGCUCGUAAAGCUCUGUUGUUAAAGAAGAACACGUAUGAGAGUAACUGUUCAUGCGUUGACGGUAUUUAACCAGAAAGUCACGGCUAACUACGUGCCAGCAGCCGCGGUAAUACGUAGGUGGCAAGCGUUAUCCGGAUUUAUUGGGCGUAAAGAGAGUGCAGGCGGUUUUCUAAGUCUGAUGUGAAAGCCUUCGGCUUAACCGGAGAAGUGCAUCGGAAACUGGAUAACUUGAGUGCAGAAGAGGGUAGUGGAACUCCAUGUGUAGCGGUGGAAUGCGUAGAUAUAUGGAAGAACACCAGUGGCGAAGGCGGCUACCUGGUCUGCAACUGACGCUGAGGCGCGAAAGUGUGGGGAGCAAACAGGAUUAGAUACCCGAGUAGUCC
rnacentral:rRNA from 1 species